rnacentral:rRNA from 1 species
AUGUCGAUGAAGAUCACCGAUGUCAAUAUGGAAACAGACGCGCUAGCAAAUCACAUCAAUCUCUUGCCAAUGCAUAGCCUGAACAGCUCGAUGAAGGCCACCGAUGUCAAUAUGGAAAUAGAGGCGCUAGCAAAUCACAUCCGUCUCACACGAAGAGGAGAGGGGGAGGGUACGGAUGUGGGGAACAAGAAGACCAAGAAGAAGAUUUUCCGUGUGCCCCAGGAGGAGCUGGAUGACAUACUUUCGUUUCAGCUGCCGCCCGCUUGGCCGUCUCUGGGUAAACGCUGUCCGUCACUCGUUGGCGAGUUGGAGAAGAUGAAGGAAAGCUUUUUGGCCGAGCGGGAGAAGAUGAGGCGAGAGUACCAGAUCAUGGGCUACGCCACGUAUGAAGCAGAGGUCACCGAUGAUGAUGAUGAUGAGGAAGACACAUUGGUGGCGAUUCCAGCGGCGACAUCUUUUCACGGGGAGAAGGACGAUGCAGCAGCUACAUCUUCUCCUUGGAUUAUUCCACGGGGAAGAGGCCGAAAAAGAUUUCGCCCGGGAGUUGUCAAGCAAGCAAGUGGCGUUAAGAAAAUAACUUAG